rnacentral:rRNA from 1 species
GUAGGGGGGGCAAGCGUUGUCCGGAAUUAUUGGGCGUAAAGCGCGCGCAGGGCGGUCUCUUAAGUCCGAUGUGAAAGCCCACGGCUCAACCGUGGAGGGUCAUUGGAAACUGGGGGACUUGAGUGUAGGAGAGGAAAGUGGAAUUCCACGUGUAGCGGUGAAAUGCGUAGAUAUGUGGAGGAACACCAGUGGCGAAGGCGACUUUCUGGCCUACAACUGACGCUGAGGUGCGAAAGCGUGGGUAGCAAACAGGAUUAGAUACCCUGGUAGUCCACGCCGUAAACGAUGAGUGCUAGGUGUUAGGGGUUUCGAUGCCCUUAGUGCCGAAGUUAACACAUUAAGCACUCCGCCUGGGGAGUACGACCGCAAGGUUG